rnacentral:misc_RNA from 1 species
GAUGAAGAACGUAGCGAAAUGCGAUAAGUGAUGUGAAUUGCAGAAUUCAGUGAAUCAUCGAAUCUUUGAACGCACCUUGCACCCUUUGGAAUUUUCCAAAGGGUAUGCUCGUUUGAGUGUCAUUGUACUCUCACACUCUCCGAUCCUUUGGAUAUGGGGAGCGGUGGACUUGGGUGCUUGCUGCUUCCUUGUGGCUCACCUGAAAUGCGUCAGUGCAUCUCUUGAUUGGACAUAGUACGGCGUGAUAAGUGUCUUCGCCGGCACCUCAUAAGAGGGUGGCCGAUCGGGAGCUCUGUGCUUUCAAACCGUCUUCGGACAAUCCCUGACAACUUGACCUCAAAUCGAGUAGGACUACCCGCUGAACUUAAGCAUAUCAAUAAGCGGAGGA